AUUGAACGCUGGCGGCAUGCCUUACACAUGCAAGUCGAACGGCAGCACGGGAGCAAUCCUGGUGGCGAGUGGCGAACGGGUGAGUAAUAUAUCGGAACGUGCCCAGUCGUGGGGGAUAACGCAGCGAAAGCUGUGCUAAUACCGCAUACGAUUUACGGAUGAAAGCGGGGGAUCGCAAGACCUCGCGCGAUUGGAGCGGCCGAUAUCAGAUUAGCUAGUUGGGGGGGUAAAGGCCCACCAAGGCGACGAUCUGUAGCUGGUCUGAGAGGACGACCAGCCACACUGGAACUGAGACACGGUCCAGACUCCUACGGGAGGCAGCAGUGGGGAAUUUUGGACAAUGGGCGAAAGCCUGAUCCAGCAAUGCCGCGUGCAGGACGAAGGCCUUCGGGUUGUAAACUGCUUUUGUACGGAACGAAACGGUCUCUUCUAAUAAAGGGGGCUAAUGACGGUACCGUAAGAAUAAGCACCGGCUAACUACGUGCCAGCCGCCGCGGUAA
rnacentral:rRNA from 1 species